rnacentral:rRNA from 1 species
UACGUAGGGUGCGAGCGUUAAUCGGAAUUACUGGGCGUAAAGCGUGCGCAGGCUGUUUGGUAAGUCAGAUGUGAAAAUCCCCCGAGCUCAACUUGGGAACUGCGUUUGAAACUACCAGACUAGAAUAUGUCAGAGGGGGGUAGAAUUCCACGUGUAGCAGUGAAAUGCGUAGAGAUGUGGAGGAAUACCGAUGGCGAAGGCAGCCCCCUGGGAUAAUAUUGACGCUCAUGCACGAAAAGCGUGGGGAGCGAACAGAUUAGAUACCGUGUA